rnacentral:tRNA from 1 species
ACUCAAAUAGCUUAUUAAGAGCACAACAUUGAAGAUGUUGGGGAGGUUAAUUUAAAUCUUUGAGUA